CAGUCGCCGCGGUAAUACGUAGGUCCCGAGCGUUGUCCGGAUUUAUUGGGCGUAAAGCGAGCGCAGGCGGUUAGAUAAGUCUGAAGUUAAAGGCUGUGGCCUAACCAUAGUACGCUUUGGAAACUGUUUAACUUGAGUGCAAGAGGGGAGAGUGGAAUUCCAUGUGUAGCGGUGAAAUGCGUAGAUAUAUGGAGGAACACCGGUGGCGAAAGCGGCUCUCUGGCUUGUAACUGACGCUGAGGCUCGAAAGCGUGGGGAGCAAACAGGAUUAGAUACCCCGGUAGUCCCUGUCUCUUAUACA
rnacentral:rRNA from 1 species